GGGAUAUGGCGAAAUUGGUAGACGCUACG
rnacentral:tRNA from 1 species